CCAUCUCCCCUCAUGGAAUGCCUCACUCUCCUAUGUGGUCUCUGUUCUCUUCCAUAACACAAAUACCUAAUUGCUGUUGUUAUCAUCUUUUGUCAGUUAUGACAAUUAUAUCAGUUUGAUCAAAUGCCAACAGUGAGGUCAGGAUGAAGCACUCAAAGGAUGAUGGAAGCAGUUUGCUAUGCAUUAAGGAGUUGGUUAUUAUAUCACGUUUAAACUCACAGGUUUGGUUCAUCUUUAGCUAAAUAUCUAGUCACUAACAGCUGUAAUGAAUCAACUAGACAGAGGAAUAGUUAAAAAAGGUAGUAAGAAUAUGGAGCUACAGCAGGAGAGCAAGUCUGUUCAGUUUAUGCCUAAGGUGGUUUUCCAGUAACACUUACGAGUUAUCACUGUUCAUACAAAACUGGAGAUGGAUUUUGUAUAGUUAAUCCUGCCGUCUUCAUACUAACCCUUCCAGUUUCAGAAACUGCUCAUAGUGACUUUUUUCAGGGCAUGCUACCACACUUUAAUGUUAGCAAAUAAGCUAACAUUUCAAAUGGAUACUAUAGGAAGGCAGUUUGUCUUUUGCCUUGGGUUGUCUUACAAGCCUUGGGUAUUCGUCAUUCUGUCAUGACUCGAGGUUCUUGGAGUUUCCCAUCACAGCAAUAUCUUAAUGACUCCUUGCUAGUGUGUCUUCAUGUCAUCUGUCUCAUAAAGGUAAAGGUGACAUUGAGAUGUGACGUCAGUGUUACAAUUGAUGUCCAUGUUCUUUACCUCCAGUUCAGAAGAGUAAAUAGAACGCAGAGCUGUACAGCCAACGGAAAGGAUGUUCAAAGAUACCAGUUUUGGUGAGUUCUCAGUAUAAUAUCUCCACACCUUGCUUAAUUCUGCUUGCCAGCCACAAGUGUAAACUUCCAGAAUAGCAGGUGUGGAGGAGUGGCAUCUCCAAACACUGCAAGCUCAUUCCUGUUGAUCUUCAUUGGUCAUCAACGCCACCAAGACGUGGUAGGGCAGCCAGAUAAGAGCAGCCCCAGUCUGACUUAAAAGAACAGAUUAUGAAAACGUUACUUUAACUUCUCUGCAGACUGGAGAAAGGGUUACUAACACUGCCCUAACACAGUUGUGAUGGCUUAAUAUCUACCUAGCUACAUCUUUGAGGUCAAACAUCUCUGAAGUGUGAGGCGAGUUAUGAAAAUUGACACAACAUGCAAACAGCUGUCAGGCUGAGGAUUUUUCAGCCUUGAGUCCCUACAGUCCAUCCCAGUACUGCCUUUGAAAAAUUUUCUGAAAACUGGAAACUCUGCAGAAAUUCCCUCACAGACCUGAGUUUCCUCCCCUGGAAAAGUUAUCUUGCUGAAAUCCCCAUGGAAAAGGUGCACUCUUAAGCAUUUGAAGCAUUUUCUCCAGAUACAUUUUUUCUGUUGUUGUUGUCAUUUUUAUUUGUAUUCCAAAAUACUCCCGUAAAAGUGAAGCCAGCUUUUCUUCAUGAAAACAAGGACAGGAAGGCAAUGUUCAUUCAGGGUAUCAUCAAGGAGCAUACUACCAAUUGCAAACUAAAAAAAUAUAAACAAAUUGCUAACCAGAUUUCCAAUGGUAUGCUUAACAAUCUGUGGCUGUGUGGUCAGUUUCCAGAAUCUCAGAUUGUACAAGGGGUCACCCACUAAUUUGGUCAAGGAACCAUGAGGACAAAGUACUAAGGCGAGGAGAAGGUUUCUGAGAAAGCUCAGACACUGGGUAGUCCCCUUGCCACCUGUUUUUACCUUUUCCAUUUCCUAUCUGGGAGAUAGGAUGGUAGGAGCCAGCAGACAAGAAAGUGGUUCACAUUUGAGCACAUCAAAUAUUUCUGCAAUAAAAAUUCAAUUUCAGUUUUCAUGUGAGACCCAGUGAUACAUUUUUUUAAACUCAUUAAUUCCCCAGUGAUGUUAUAAAAGAUUUUUUUCAUGUAAAAUCCAUCAGAAUUAUUUAUUUUCUGUAAUAAAUAAUAUAUGCAUGUGUAACAUACGUAAAUAUGUGUAACUGUAAUAUAAUAAUAUAAAUAUUGCC
ensembl:lncRNA